rnacentral:lncRNA from 10 species
CGGGCUUGUCUCAACCCCACCCAGUGGCUGCUGCUGUCUGCGCCCGAGGACCUCAUCUCCUCGCAGAGGCUGGCUCCCCGCGCCCCGCAUCCCACGCUGGGACACGCGUGUGGCCUUGCCAGGGUGGGCGAGACACGGCCGCCUUCCUUCACAUCCAACGCCGGUGAGGCUCAGCACUCAUUGUCUCACUGGCAGCACAGACAAAGCCUUGCGGGCUCCACGGGAUAAUCAACAGCGAGAACGCCCCCAGGGACCUCCGGAAAGAGACACCAUUGGUUGCAGGCCUCCAGGUUCUCGUCUGCCUGGGGUGCCAUCCCUCACUCCAGAGCCAUCCACAGAAUUCAAAAGCAGAAUUAGAAAAAUCCUUGCUCCACCAGCCUGGGCAACAUAAGGAGAUCUCUACAAAAAAUGAAAUGUAGUCCCAGCUACUCAGGAGGCUGAGGUAGGAGGAUCACUGGAGCCCAGGAGUUCGAGGCUACAGUGAGCUAUGAUCGAGCUGUUGCACUCCAGCCUGGGCCACAGAGCGAG